UUUAAUAAACAGUUUAAAAAAAAAAAACACUCGUUUUCGUCUGAUCACGAAAGUUAAGCAACGCUGUGCACGGAUAGUAGUUAGAUGGGUGACCGCUUGGGAACUCCGUGUAGUGUUGGCA
rnacentral:rRNA from 13 species